GCGUCGAUGGUGUGGUGGUAGCACGCGCCCUCGCUAAGGGUGCAGCCCGAGUUCAACUCUCGGCUGAGGUCA